rnacentral:rRNA from 1 species
GUGAGUAACGCGUGGGAACGUACCUUUUGCUACGGAAUAACUCAGGGAAACUUGUGCUAAUACCGUAUGUGCCCUUCGGGGGAAAGAUUUAUCGGCAAAGGAUCGGCCCGCGUUGGAUUAGCUAGUUGGUGAGGUAAAGGCUCACCAAGGCGACGAUCCAUAGCUGGUCUGAGAGGAUGAUCAGCCACCCUGGGACUGAGACACGGCCCAGACUCCUACGGGAGGCAGCAGUGGGGAAUAUUGGACAAUGGGCGCAAGCCUGAUCCAGCCAUGCCGCGUGAGUGAUGAAGGCCCUAGGGUUGUAAAGCUCUUUCACCGGUGAAGAUAAUGACGGUAACCGGAGAAGAAGCCCCGGCUAACUUCGUGCCAGCAGCCGCGGUAAUACGAAGGGGGCUAGCGUUGUUCGGAUUUACUGGGCGUAAAGCGCACGUAGGCGGACUUUUAAGUCAGGGGUGAAAUCCCGGGGCUCAACCCCGGAACUGCCUUUGAUACUGGAAGUCUUGA